GGAUGUGAGGGCGAUCUGGCUGUGACAUCUGUCACCCCAUUGAUCGCCAGGGUUGAUUUGGUUGAUCUGGCUGGCUAGGCGGGUGUCCCCUUCCUCCCUCACCACUCCAUGUGCGUCCCUCCCGAAGCUGCGCGCUCGGUCGAAGAGGACGACCUUCCCCCAUAGAGGAGGACAGCUCUUCGGUCAAGGGCGUACGAGUAGCUGCCCUCCCCUGCUAGAACCUCCGAACAAGCUCUCAAGCAGCCAACAGGGUGAGCAGCAGAGCAGAGGAAUGCAAACACCCUGGGUCCUUGGAGAAUCUUCAAAGCCCUGGAUCAGUCUGCCCUGAA
rfam:Ailuropoda melanoleuca scaffold47_75, whole genome shotgun sequence.